GGCUCAGAACGAACGCUGGCGGCGUGCUUAACACAUGCAAGUCGAACGAACCUUCGGGUUAGUGGCGGACGGGUGAGUAACGCGUGAGAAUCUGCCCUCAGGAGGGGGAUAACGGUUGGAAACGACCGCUAAUACCCCAUAUGCCGAGAGGUGAAAAGAAAUUCGCCUGAGGAUGAGCUCGCGUCUGAUUAGCUAGUUGUUCUGGUAAUGGCGCAGCUAAACUUCGAUCAGUAGCUGGUCUGAGAGGAUGAUCAGCCAC
rnacentral:rRNA from 1 species